CGCAUCAUCAUCUCCACUCUCCAUCCCUCUCGGCCUCUCAUCCCUUACCAUAGCCUCCAUCGCCAUCCCAAAGCCUUACACAAUCGAGCCUAAUGAAGCCAGCCAACGUUCAAGGUGGUUCCCUCCUCUCCAUUCAACACAGGCCACGACCGAGGGAAAACGACCACCGCGACCCUCUACUGCUCAUCUAACAAGGUGAUAAAAAUGCCUUCAAUGGUGGCAUGAUUGGCGUGCGACGCUAGCAGCUUGAUGGUCGAGACUUGGUUUGCUCAUGGAUCACACCAACAUGUGGGAGAGGGCUGAUUGUUGAUCAACUGGUUUUGUCUUCCACGUGUUGCUCCCCUCUCUUUGUGUGAUGUUUAUGCUUGCUGAAUGGAUGUCCCUUAUUGCUCCAUCAUAAACUGUCUCCCACUUAAAUUCAACUUGUAAUAUGUUGUUAUAGUGUCCCACUAGAUUGUUCCAACGUGUCCAUUGUGCAAGUGAAUGGAAAACAAAGGUUUGUUGGACUGAA